AUAGAGAGCAUGCAUGCAUAUAUACUAAUAGAGACCAUAACCUAAUUGCCAUUGUGGUUUAAUUAGCAAUACUGCUACAAUGACUACCGUUUCAUAUUUGCUCUUCUCUUUCUUGUUGAUCCAUGGACUAAUAUUUUCUCAUACUAUUUACAUCGUGAAGGCAAAUGAAAUCGUUUCGGCUGAUUCUUCUUUGAAUGCAAUAUCUUCUCACGUUCUAGUUCAUCGUAAGUUACCAAAGAUGGUAACCCUAAGGAAGGUUCCACCACGACCUUCAAGCCCGGUUCCCAACGUGCCUCCACGUCAGAAUCCUCCUCCGGGCCCGAAAUAGCUGCCGCCGACAACUUUUUUCCAGUAGAAUUACCCUCCCCACCAUACAAUAAAACUUCAACAUGUGUUUUGUUGAAGCUAGAAGGCCUUAUGUGGGUUCAAGUCUUUUUUUUUUUUUUUUUCUUCGGUAAUUAUAGAAGUGCAAAAUUUUAUCUAUUGAAAAAUUGAAUAAUUAAUUUGUGUCCCAGUCUCUUCACUCUUUUAUUUUCUCUACCAUUGGUUAACCAAAACUCCAUAUUGAAAAUUUCAUUGAUCUUCAAAAAUAAAAUGCGUUUAUUAAA
rnacentral:lncRNA from 1 species